rnacentral:rRNA from 1 species
GAUGAACGCUAGCGGCAGGCUUAACACAUGCAAGUCGAGGGGCAGCGCGAGUAGCAAUACUUGGCGGCGACCGGCGAACGGGUGAGUAAUACAUCGGAACGUACCCAGGAGUGGGGGAUAACGUAGCGAAAGUUACGCUAAUACCGCAUAUUCUGUGAGCAGGAAAGCGGGGGAUCGCAAGACCUCGCGCUCUUGGAGCGGCCGAUGUCGGAUUAGCUUGUUGGUGAGGUAAAAGCUCACCAAGGCGACGAUCCGUAGCAGGUCUGAGAGGAUGAUCUGCCACACUGGGACUGAGACACGGCCCAGACUCCUACGGGAGGCAGCAUG